GGGACUGGCGCUGGAGCCCAGCGUGGGAUGACCGUGCCCCGAAAACAUGCCAGUGAAUGGAAAGAAGCCAAGGUCCCCUCCCUCCCUGCUUAUACCCUCAACUUUGCCAAUGAGGACCCUAAAUACCAGCUGCACUACAGGGGAUGUAACUACAUACACCGUCACCAAAGUUGCAGCCUGGCCAAGAAAUGCCAGGGGACGUCGCGGCGAUUGCAGACUCCGCGGUGACUGUGUAGAUACGUCCAGAAUUCGCCCUUGUAGCGCGGGGAGAGGCGAGAGUGAAGGCCUAGAAAAAAAGAAGAAUAAAUGGGACAUUACACAAGGCGAAGCGCAAUUUUGAAUUACAAAGGGGGAGUUGUUUUCACAGUGACCUCUGAAAGAUUCUCCCGGGGU
rnacentral:lncRNA from 1 species